ACAUACGACCAUAGGACACUGAAUACAGGGCUUCCCGUUCGCUCAGCCUUACUUAAGCAGUGUACCGGCACACUAGUAGUUAAGUGGGUGACCAUUAGCGAAUCCGUGCUGUUGUAUGUU
rnacentral:rRNA from 1 species